rnacentral:rRNA from 1 species
UGGGGAAUUUUGCACAAUGGGCGGAAGCCUGAUGCAGCGACGCCGUGUGGGGGAUGAAGGCCUUCGGGUUGUAAACUCCUUUCGUCAGGGACGAAGUUUGUUUGACGGUACCUGGAUAAGAAGCACCGGCUAACUACGUGCCAGCAGCCGCGGUAAUACGUAGGGUGCGAGCGUUGUCCGGAUUUACUGGGCGUAAAGGGCUCGUUGGUGGUGUGUUGCGUCGUCUGUGUAAUCCAGGGGCUUAACUUUUGGUUGGCAGGCGAUACGGGCAUUGCUUGAGUGCUGUAGGGGAGACUGGAAUUCCUGGUGUAGCGGUGAAAUGCGCAGAUAUCAGGAGGAACACCGAUGGCGAAGGCAGGUCUCUGGGCAGUUACUGACGCUGAGGAGCGAGAGCAUGGGUAGCGAACAGG